GCCGGGCAUGGUGGCACAUGCCUGUGAUCCCAGCAGCUUGGGGGCUGAGACAGGAAGACCACAAGUUCAAGGCCAGCCUAAGCAACUCAGUGAGACCCUGUCUCAA
rnacentral:sRNA from 1 species